rnacentral:rRNA from 1 species
UAUGGCCACAUCACAUUGAAAUACUGGUUCCCGUACAAUCACUGAAGUUAAGCAAGGUUGAAUCUGGUUAGUAUCUAGAUGGGUGACUGCUUGGGAAUACCAGGUGCUGUAAGC